rnacentral:rRNA from 1 species
GACAGAGGGGCCGAGCGUUAGGCGGAAUCACUGGGCUUAAAGCGUGUGUAGGCGGGCGGGCAAGUACCUUGUGAAAUCCCACGGCUCAACCGUGGAACGGCUGGGUAUACUGCCUGUCUUGAGCCAACUAGGGGCGAGCGGAACAGACGGUGGUGCGGUGAAAUGCGUAGAUAUCAGGAGGAACACCUGCGGUGUAGACGGCUUUCUGGACCAUUGCUGACGCUGAGACACGAAAGCGUGGGUAGCAAACAGG